rnacentral:rRNA from 14 species
UUUGUAUAAUGGGUCAGCGAGUUAGUCUGUCGAGCAAGCUUAAGCCGUUAGGUGUAGGCUCAGCGAGGCGAGUCUGAAUAGGGCGUUGAGUCGCAGGGGCUAGACACGAAACCCGUGUGAUCUACCCAUGGCCAGGGUGAAGGUGGGGUAAAACCCGCUGGAGGCCCGAACCCGUCAUCGUUGAAAAGAUGUGGGAUGAGCUGUGGGGAGGGGUCAAAGUCCAAUCAAACCGGGAGAUAGCUUGUUCUCACCGAAAUAACUUUAGGGUUAGCCUCAAGAAGCAACUGUUGGGGGUAGAGCUACUGGAUGCGUGGUGGGCCCGUCUAGGGUACCCCAUGCAACCAAACUCCGAAUACCAACAGCCAAGUCUUGGGAGAUAGACUGCGAGUGAAAAUAUCCGUAGUCAAAAGGAGAAUAAUCCAGACCGCC